rnacentral:misc_RNA from 1 species
CACUCAAACUUUGUUAAGAAAGUCCACAGCAUCGGAUAUGUAUCCAGUACGUCUUCCUAGGCGAGCAUUGUAUGACAACUCGGUUAAGGCAAACAUAAAUUGAACGGAAAAUGCCUCAUCGAGCCCACAGUGGAAGACUGCAACAGUAUUCUCUUAAGCUGGAGCUACAGCACUGACACGGGAACAUGCGACAAGGGCUUUGUCUGCGCGGAGUGCGCGAACAGAUUCGAGACGCAAGAGCAAUGCAGAAUAACCUGUCCGGAGAAGCCUGUACAGAAACCAAGAUGGAAACUUACAUAUUUUUGGGACUGCAAACGUUGGCUUGUUCAUAUUAGCGACUGUCAAGGAUUCUGGUUUGAAUAUGGGAAGACCCGGUUUGGAACACUAAGCCAACAGCUGUAUUACAGCGGUUGUGGGCCAGAUAAAAAGAAGGUAUAUAAAUACGACUUCGGCCUCAAAAAAUGUCAUGUUGUGGACAAGCUUCCAGGUGGACCAUUUCACCAGACACCCAGAGUAAAACAAGAAUCCAAAAGUGAGGCUCAAGAGGCACGGCAACGAAUUCGACAAAUUGUAGAAAAUGAAACGCUGCCACCUUCACAUUCUGGGCGGCAGACUAACCCUCGUGUGCAUCUUCACAAGUGAGAUUCUGCUAAAUAAAUGGCCCUAUAUUUCAUCGUUCCUUGCACAUAACGCGGUGUUCCCACUGGCAUUCCCUACUGAACAGUCUGUAUAAGUAGAGCGCUGAACGCGAGACUACCGUCUCAGCGCUUGGCGUUCCAAUGACAACCUUAUGCGCUCAAAAUAAAGUACCUCAUUCCUCCGGC